rnacentral:lncRNA from 1 species
UUGUGGUGUUGGCUGUCAAUGUUAUUACACCCACGUUAACAGACAGCUGUCAGUAGGGCUGGGAAUUUCCAGGGACCUCAUCAUACUUAGGUGCCGAUACGAUUUGUAUUGUGAUUCUCACAAUUCUAUUUGUAUUGUGAUUCUCACGAUUCUAUUUGUAUUGUGAUUCUCACGAUUCUAUUUGUAUUGUGAUUCGAUACUGUGAUUUCAUUGCGAUUCGAUGUUCCAAACAUUGCUCACCACAUGUCUGCUGCAGAGGGACAAGAGAGCGAGCCAGGAGAAAAUGAGUUUUGAUCAGUCUAUGAAUUAAAAGUGCUGAAAACAAAUUGACUCCCAAUUUAAAAAGAAGAUGGAGAACAACACCUAUGAAGGAAAAAUACUGGAGUUUUUUGUGCUGGUACAGCCAGCCAACUAGCGCAUUAAAUAAUAUUGGGAUAUUGUCAAACUGAUAUUGUCUCAACAUGUCGUCAAAUAAUAUCCCAAUAUGUAAAUUGUUUUAAAGUAAGACACAACUGGUGUUGGAGACUAUCAGUGUCUCUAUGGUGGUGUUGGAGACUGUCAGUGUCUCUAUGGUGGUGUCAUGUCCUCCCACCACCACCACCACAUGGUGUGUCUGGCCCCCCUCCAGACUGUCAGUGUCUCUAUGGUGGUGUUGGGAGACGGUCAGUGUCUCUAUGGUGGUGUUGGACCCUGUCAGUGUGUCUAUGGUGGUGUUGGAGACUGUCAGUGUCUCUAUGGUGGUGUUGGAGACUGUCAGUGUCUCUAUGCUGGUGUUUGAGACUGUCAGUGUCUCUAUGGUGUCUCUAUGCUGGUGUUGAAGACUGUCAUUGUCUCUAUGGCUGGUGUUGGAGACUGUCAGUGUCUCUAUGGUGGUGUUGGAGACUGUCAGUGUCUCUAUGGUGGUGUUGGAGACUGUCAGUUUCUCUAUGGUGGUGUUGGACCCUGUCAGUGUGUCUAUGGUGGUGUUGGAGACUGCAGUGUCUCUAUGGUGGUGUUGGACCUGUCAGUGUCUCUUGGUGGUGUUGACCUGUCCGUGCUCUAUGGUGGUGUUGGACCUGUCCGUGUCUCUCUGGUGGUGUUGGGACAUGUCAGUGUCUCUAUGGUGGUGUCAUGUCCUCCCACCACCACCACCAUAUGGUGUGCCUUGCCCCUUCCAGGACUGUCGUGUGUCGUAUGGGGCCCACACCGUGAACACACUGAAGCCACUUAGAGGACAUGAUAGUUUAGCCGUCUGUCGGUGCGCUACCCCCGUGACAAACGGAGACAAGAGCUGUGUCUCUCCACGCAUGGGAACUUCUGCCUCUUGAGACAGACUUCGGAGGUCUGGCCGACUCGUAGGACAGACAUGAUUUGUACGUAGUCUGGUGCAUUAGUGAAACACUUCUAGUGAGUAUGGGGUUGUUGUUCAUACCUACUGUUGUAUAUUUUUUUUAAAUGGAAUUGACCAAGCAGUUAUUACAGGUUACUUCCAACAGCGGUAGUAUAAUUCAUAGGAUGUUUGCAUGUUGGACUUAUUUGUCUUUGUUUUAUUGAGCCAUUCCUGAAGUUCCAUGUUCGUUUUUUUUUUUUUUUUUUUUUCUUUGUUUUUGAGAAUGGUGGCUCUAAUUGGCUGUUGCAUGUUGCAUGCAGAAUGUUGUUUUUUUCUACAGAUUCUACCCUGCAGCUUGGUGUUCAACUUCAACUGUCGUUUACUUGCCAUUGAUUUGAAACUGUUUUUAAAUACUGGUUCAGCUCACAGAUAUUAUUUCUUUAAUAGUUCUGCCUUUGAUCUUCGUGUGAUAUUGUGACGUUCGUGACUGGUAUGGUUUAGCCUUUUUUUUAAAAAGCGUUUUAAUACACUAUCCACCUGACAAUGUACUGAAUCAGCCUAUAGCCUAUUUGCAUAUGAUUUUAACUCUCUAGUGUGAUUUGCUGUAAGGCAGAAUGGAUUGUAUCUACCUCUACAAUUAUUUCAGUAAAAUGUUGUUGUUUUUGUAAAACAUUUGAUCAGAAACAUACAAUGCAAAUGAAACCCACCCCCUUGAUCUUUGUUGGAGUCAGGUUAUUAUUUUUUUUAACAAUUUAUUAUGUCUCCCAGGAGUUUAUUUGAGCAGAAAGUGUCGCAAAAUUAAAAAUACAUUUUUUUAAUUUUACCAGUUGAAGUGAUUUUAAUGUUUUUUGUUGUGUUUUUUAAACAUUUUGACUCACUGUUAUUUAUAUUACUGUGAUCUUCAGAGAAAACACCAUUGCAAAGCCUGUCUGUUUCAAUGAUAAUUGUGGUCAUUUUAAUGUCGAUUUGUAGAAAGAGAACCAUCACCUGAAAUAAUGGAACAGGAAGUCGAAUGGUUUUAAGGAAAUUGUAUUUGCGUCCCAAAUGGCACCCUAUGCCCUAUAUAGUGCACUACUUUAGACCAGAGCCCUAUAGAACCCUAUUCCCUAUAUAGUGCACUUCUGGUUUUGAGUAGAGCCCUGGUCAGAAGUAGUGUACUGUGUAGAGGAUAGGGUGCUAUUUUUAGGAUGCAUACUUUAUCACUACAUGACUUGAGACUGGUGUUAGACUCUACUGCCGUGUGAAGUUUAAACUGGUGUUAGACUCUACUGCCGUGUGAAGUUUAAACUGGUGUUAGACUCUACUGCCGUGCGAAGUUACUUUAAACCACCAAUAGAGAAUGAAAAGUAUGGCUUGUUUAUUAUUCUGUCAUGUGUGAUGCUAACCAAUCACAUCACAGUGAGGAGGGGUAGUAGUCUAUAUGACUGCAUCACAGUGAGGAGGGGUAGUAGUCUAUAUGACUGCAUCACAGUGAGGAGGGGUAGUAUAUAUGACUGCAUCACAGUGAGGAGGGGUAGUAGUCUAUAUGACUGCGUCACACUGAGGAGGGGUAGUAGUCUAUAUGACUGCGUCACACUGAGGAGGGGUAGUAGUCUAUAUAACUGCGUCACAGUGAGGAGGGGUAGUAGUCUAUAUGAUAUAUAUAUGAUAUAUCCAUUUUGUUUCCUCUGUUUCAACACGUAUGAAAAUGAAAUUAAACGUUUUAUUGCUCUUGUUAUAAAAAUAUAUUUUAAUGAAUUUUUUAUUUAUUUAUUUGGAUAGUUCAUGUUUAAUUGUUGUAAAAGCCUUAAGAGUUAAAAAAAAAAAUAGAGCAAGGUUUGUUCAUUAAUCUCACAGAAUCAAAACUAGUCUUAUGUCCUCCCGUCUUUUCUAAUGUAACGAGUGUUGUGAGUAGUAUGAGCGGGGAAAACCGUGGACUGCUUGCCUUUUACACAAGUCUGUUUGUGACACUAGGUGGCAGUGUUACCCAGGAAAUUCAACGUUGGGUAAUUUUACCCAGAGAGCCAAUUGAUUCCUCACUGGAGAAUAAAGUGUCAACUUCACUCUGGGGUUGUUGUUUUUUUCUGGUGAAGUUUUAAAACUGGUUUGCUACAUUUAACAAAAACAGAAUCCAACUAAAGUGCAGAUCCAAAUUGAUUUAUUUAUAAAUUACGUAUGCUGAAUACAGCAGAAUAGACCUUACGGUGAAAUGCUGAUUUACAAGCCCUUAAAACGACAAUGCAGUUUUAGAUUUUAAAUGUUUAUUUAACUAGUCAAAUCAGUUAAGAACACAUUCUUAUUCACAAUGACGGCCUAGGAAAUUGUGGGUUAACUGCCUUGUUCAGGGGCAGAACAACAGAUUUUUUACCUUGUCAGCUCGGGGAUUCAAUCCAACAACCUUUCAGUUACUGGCCCAACGCUCUAACCACUAGGCUACCUGCUGUUUACUGGCCCAAUGCUCUAACCACUAGGCUACCUGCUGGUUACUGGCCCAACAACUACUCUCCAAAAAC